rnacentral:guide_RNA from 1 species
CAAUAAAUGCAUAAGUACAACACGCAAUGAUAGAUGAUA